GGCUCCCGUACGGUAGACUGCAGACCAAGAGAUCCUUAGCAAUGCCAGAAUCUUGAGAAAAUGCACAUGAGUUGUCCACUAGCUGACAUAGGACGUGAAUGGCCCCAUACGAUCCUCCCCUGAGAGGGCAACUCAGCCAGACAAUGGGGACCCAAACACCAGUCGUGGCAGGCUACCCCUGUGGAUCCCACGUGGGACAUUAAAAGAGAGGGAGUCGUAG